GACGAACGCUGGCGGCGUGCUUAACACAUGCAAGUCGAACGCGCUUGGCCUUUUUUGGGUUGGGUGAGUGGCGAACGGGUGAGUAACACGUGGGUGACCUGCCUUGAGCUCUGGGAUAAGCCUGGGAAACUGGGUCUAAUACUGGAUAUGACCAAUUCUUGCAUGGGGGUUGGUGGAAAGUUUUGUUCUUUGUUGGACAUUUCGGCUCGAGAUGGGCCCGCGGCUAUCAGCUUGUUGGUGGGUGAUGGCUUACCAAGGCGA
rnacentral:rRNA from 1 species